rnacentral:rRNA from 1 species
GACGAACGCUGGCGGCGUGCUUAACACAUGCAAGUCGAACGGAGUGGCUAACGGGUGAGUAACACGUGGGUGACCUGCCUUGCACUUCGGGUUAAGCUUGGGAAACUGGGUCUAAUACCGGAUAGUGCAAGAUGAGCUCGCGGCCUAUCAGCUUGUUGGUGGGGUAAUGGCCUACCAAGGCGUCGACGGGUAGCCGGCCUGAGAGGGUGUACGGCAAAAUUGUCACACUCAUAACAACCACAAUACUACUAAAAGCAACAAUGGGGAAUAUUGCACAAUGGGCGGAAGCGUGAUGCAAAUAAGCCGCGUAUAAAAUGAAGGCAUUCUGGUUGUAAACUCCGUUCGACAGAGACGCGGUAUCUGUAUAAGAAGCACCGGCUAACUACGUGACAGCAGCCGCGGUAAUAC